rnacentral:rRNA from 1 species
AGAACGAACGCUGGCGGCAUGCCUAACACAUGCAAGUCGAACGAGACCUUCGGGUCUAGUGGCGCACGGGUGCGUAACGCGUGGGAAUCUGCCCUUGGGUUCGGGAUAACAGUUGGAAACGACUGCUAAUACCGGAUGAUGUCUUCGGACCAAAGAUUUGUCGCCCAGGGAUGAGCCCGCGUAGGAUUAGCUUGUUGGUGAGGUAAGAGCUCACCAAGGCGACGAUCCUUAGCUGGUCUGAGAGGAUGAUCAGCCACACUGGGACUGAGACACGGCCCAGACUCCUACGGGAGGCAGCAGUGGGGAAUAUUGGACAAUGGGUGAAAGCCUGAUCCAGCAAUGCCGCGUGAGUGAUGAAGGCCUUAGGUUGUAAAGCUCUUUUACCCGGGAUGAUAAUGACAGUACCGGAGAAUAAGCCCCGCUAACUCCGUGCCAGCAGCCGC